rnacentral:tRNA from 1 species
GAGGAUAUAGCUCAGUAGGAGAGUGCGUACCUAGAAUGCAAAGGUCCUGGGUUCAAUCCCCAGUACCUCCA